ACUCUAAUAGUUUAUUAAAAACAUUGGUCUUGUAAGCCAAAAAGUGAAGACUAUAACCCUUCUUAGAGUA
rnacentral:tRNA from 1 species